rnacentral:rRNA from 1 species
UACGUAGGGGGCGAGCGUUGUCCGGAUUUAUUGGGCGUAAAGAGCGUGUAGGCGGCCAGGUAGGUCUGCUGUGAAAACUCGAGGCUCAACCUCGAGACGUCGGCGGAAACCAUCUGGCUAGAGUCCGGAAGAGGAGAGUGGAAUUCCUGGUGUAGCGGUGAAAUGCGCAGAUAUCAGGAAGAACACCCGUGGCGAAGGCGGCUCUCUGGGACGGUACUGACGCUGAGACGCGAAAGCGUGGGGAGCGAACAGGG